rnacentral:rRNA from 1 species
UACGUAGGGGGCAAGCGUUGUCCGGAAUCAUUGGGCGUAAAGAGCGUGUAGGCGGCUCGAUAAGUCCGCUGUGAAAGUCCAGGGCUCAACCCUGGAAGGCCGGUGGAAACUGUCGGGCUAGAGUCCGGAAGAGGCGAGUGGAAUUCCUGGUGUAGCGGUGAAAUGCGCAGAUAUCAGGAGGAACACCAGUGGCGAAGGCAGCUCGCUGGGACGGUACUGACGCUGAGACGCGAAAGCGUGGGGAGCAAACAGG